GUGCAGCUCAGUUGCCAUGAUGCUCCUUGAGUCAAUGAGCUCUUUGGUCUGCUCUUCUGCUCAAGCAGAAAAUGAUCUGCGCUUCACCCUUGAGAAGCUGACAAGAACCACAGGCUUCUUCAGGCAGGUGGUGGAACAUGGGUGUAUCCUGCAGGUGCUCACAGUAUCUCCCUUUGCUCAGGCUCUAGCCUGAUUUUCUUGCUCAUAAGGCCAAAGGGAGCUGGAAAGGUCCCCAUGGCAGGACUCAUGGUGGAGAGAGAAUGGUCUAGAGGAUUCAGGCCUCUGCACACUGUGUCUGGGUCCCUCCUUAAAGAAUGAUAAAGACAAGCAAAGAGCUUGAAGCAGCCUGGAGUCCAGCCAGAAACCUUUAACUGAGCUUUAAAGGAGAUGGUCACAACACUUUUCAGAAUACUGGCAAAGGCCUCCUGUGGCCAGGUUUGUCCUGGGAUGAGCAAAAUUUAAUGUUUACCUGCUGUAUCUUUGCUUUUAAUAUAUCUGCUUGCCCAUCACAAUGACGUUAUGGUUAAUUUCACCAAUUUGGUAACCUGCCUCAUGGGAAGUACGAAAGUAAGCAAGGGCCAGGUGUGGUGACUCACGCCUGUAAUCCCAGUACUUUGGGUGGCUGAGGCAGGUGGAUUGCUUGAGCCCAGGAGUUCAAGACCAACCUGGGCACCAUGACAAAACCCCAUCUCUACAAAAUAUACAAAAAUUAACCAGGAGUGGCAGUGCAUGGCUGUAAUCCCAGCUACUCGGAGGCUGAGGUGGGAGAAUCUCUUGAGCCUGGGAGGCAGAGGUUGCAGUGAGCUGAGAUCACACCACUGCAUUCCAGCCUGGGCAACAAAGCGAGACCCUGUCUCAAAAAAAAAAAAAAAAAAAAGAGAAAGACAGUGAGGGUGUCCUGUGAAUCAAAUCUUUGAAUGGAUGUUUUCUUAACUAACCAAGACCUCUGUAAGAAUUCUGUCUUUGAUUCCACAAUAAAGUGGUGUGAAAUUACUAUAAGCAAA
rnacentral:lncRNA from 1 species